UGAGUAACACGUAUCCAACCUGCCGUCUACUCUUGGCCAGCCUUCUGAAAGGAAGAUUAAUCCAGGAUGGCAUCAUGAGUUCACAUGUCCGCAUGAUUAAAGGUAUUUUCCGGUAGACGAUGGGGAUGCAUUCCAUUAGAUAGUAGGCGGGGUAACGGCCCACCUAGUCAACGAUGGAUAGGGGUUCUGAGAGGAAGGUCCCCCACAUUGGAACUGAGACACGGUCCAA
rnacentral:rRNA from 1 species